rnacentral:rRNA from 1 species
UACGGAGGAUGCAAGCGUUAUCCGGAAUUAUUGGGCGUAAAGCGUCCGUAGAUGGUUUUGCAAGUCGGCUGUCAAAGCACAGGGCUUAACCCUGGAAAGGCAGUGGAAACUACAAGACUAGAGUGCAGUAGGGGCAGAGGGAAUUCCCAGUGUAGCGGUGAAAUGCGUAGAGAUUGGGAAGAACAUCCGUGGCGAAAGCGCUCUGCUGGACUGCAACUGACAUUGAGGGACGAAAGCUAGGGGAGCGAAUGGG